rnacentral:snoRNA from 1 species
GCCCUCCUAAUUUCUUACCCCUCAGAUCUAAAUAUUGGUCUGAGUGGCUAAAAAGUAGGAGGAAAAAUAAAAUUGAAGUGGACUUGGAGUCUUCAGGGACCUACAAGUUCAUUUCAAGGG